UACAGAGGGGGCAAGCGUUGUUCGGAAUUACUGGGCGUAAAGGGCGCGUAGGCGGCCUUCUAAGUCGAACGUGAAAUCCCCGGGCUCAACCCGGGAACUGCGUCCGAUACUGGAAGGCUUGAAUCCGGGAGAGGGAUGUGGAAUUCCAGGUGUAGCGGUGAAAUGCGUAGAUAGUCUGGAGGAACACCGGUGGCGAAGGCGACAUCC
rnacentral:rRNA from 1 species